rnacentral:lncRNA from 1 species
AUGAUUGCACGCAAUUAUAACAUCUCGGUUUCGGACGAUCCAUAUCUAAAAUCUAAUUUUGGAUUAAAAGGCUAUAACCUCCACAUCGUGAGAUAUGAAUGACAUGCAAGGUGUUCACUCUAUGUUUAACUAACAUCGCAAUUUAUAUGCUAACAUCGCGGGCCAACUUUCACUAAUUUUAAGGAAAAUACGCACCUAUAUAAGGCAAACACCUUGGUCAGU